rnacentral:rRNA from 1 species
GAGUUUGAUCGUGGCUCAGAUUGAACGCUGGCGGCAGGCCUAACACAUGCAAGUCGAGCGGAUGAAGGGAGCUUGCUCCUGGAUUCAGCGGCGGACGGGUGAGUAAUGCCUAGGAAUCUGCCUGGUAGUGGGGGAUAACGUCCGGAAACGGGCGCUAAUACCGCAUACGUCCUGAGGGAGAAAGUGGGGGAUCUUCGGACCUCACGCUAUCAGAUGAGCCUAGGUCGGAUUAGCUAGUUGGUGGGGUAAAGGCCUACCAAGGCGACGAUCCGUAACUGGUCCGAGAGGAUGAUCAGUCACACUGGAACUGAGACACGGUCCAGACUCCUACGGGAGGCAGCAGUGGGGAAUAUUGGACAAUGGGCGAAAGCCUGAUCCAGCCAUGCCGCGUGUGUGAAGAAGGUCUUCGGAUUGUAAAGCACUUUAAGCUGGGAGGAAGGGCAGUAAGUUAAUACCUUGCUGUUUUGACGUUACCAACAGAAUAAGCACCGGCUAACUUCGUGCCAGCAGCCGCGGU